UGCAGUCGCACGGGCAGCAAUGUCAGUGGCGGACGGGUGAGUAACGCGUAGGGAAGUGUCCAGAGGUGGGGGACAACCCCGGGAAACUGGGGCUAAUACCGCAUAUGAGCUGAGGCUCAAAGCAGUGAUGCGCCUUUGGAGUUACCUGCGUCCGAUUAGCUAGUUGGUGGGGUAAAGGCCUACCAAGGCGACGAUCGGUAGCUGGUCUGAGAGGACGACCAGCCACACUGGGACUGAGACACGGCCCAGACUCCUACGGGAGGCAGCAGUGGGGAAUAUUGGACAAUGGGCGCAAGCCUGAUCCAGCAAUGCCGCGUGGGUGAAGAAGGUCUUCGGAUCGUAAAGCCCUUUCGGCGGGGACGAUGAUGACGGUACCCGCAGAAGAAGCCCCGGCUAACUUCGUGCCAGCAGCCGCGGUAAUACGAAGGGGGCUAGCGUUACUCGGAAUUACUGGGCGUAAAGGGCGCGUAGGCGGCGCUCCAAGUUAGGCGUGAAAGUCCUGGGCUCAACCUGGGAACUGCGCUUAAGACUGGAGUGCUUGAGGAUGGAAGAGGCUCGUGGAAUUCCCAGUGUAGAGGUGAAAUUCGUA
rnacentral:rRNA from 1 species